GGAGGCAAGAUGCCCUACCCCAGGUAAGCUGAAGUGCUACAGUAUAAGAAAUAAAUCUUCUAUUGUUUGUUUUGGAUUUAAAAAAUAAAUAAAUAAAUUGUCUGUUGUUUCUUCUCUGCAUUUGCAAGUUAUUUUUAAAUUAUAGAAAGAAAAGAAGGGGUAUACCUAAACUGACUUGGAGGAGAGCAGUAUAACGUGACCUAGAAACAUUACACAUUUCCGAGGAUUUAAUCCAAAAUCGUUUAAAAUGGAUAGAGAGAACCAUAUAGCCGACUCCAAAUUCUUGGGAUAAAGGCUUAAUUAAGUUGAGUUGAGUUGAGUCUCUUCGAGAGAGACUGCCUAAGUCAUUCAAGCAAGAUGUUGUGCCGGCUAUGGCGCUUGCUUAUGUGGACUUGUCAAGGGAUGCUAUGGCUUUGAUCCCCCAGAUUUCAUCCGAGGUUGUGAGAUGCUAGAGAGAGCGUUGAAGCUUUUGCAGGUAUUGCACUACAUUAACUUUGAUGUAACAUUUUCCGUUUUAUUUGUUUCACUAUUUAAAAAAAAAAAAAGAAGAAAUAUACAUAAAAAAGAAAAGGACAAAAAGGAACGUGCACUCUUUUCUAGACAGAUUAUUUUUAUAUAUAAAUUUAAUGUUGCUAGAAGUGAUAGAUUAGUUUAUUUUUAUUGGUGGAUUAUGUCAUCUUGUCACACAGUUAGAGCCAAACAAACUUAUAAUGCUGCAUCGCUUUAUAAAUGCGUGGAAGCUUAUAGUAAUGCGCUAUACGUACAAGCAGCAAUAUGUCAACUUAUGGAAAAGAAUUAUGUAAGCUACAUCUAAUUUUUUUAACUCCUUUUGGCUUCAUCACUUACGUGUUGUAGCUGUUAUACCAAUGUGCCGCUACUUUUAAUAUUCUUUUUUCGUGCAUAUAGGAAGAAGGGACCAGCAGCCUGGUACGAGAUUUACGAGCACAAAUUGAUGACACAUUGGAGGAGAUCGCCCCUAGAUUUUGCCCUUGAACUUCUAGCCUUGCCACUUCGUGAUGAAUACUUGAUGAGACUGGCAGAGGGUCUCAAUGGAGUGUGCAAUAUACUAUGGGCUUUUGGAGGAGGGGGAGCUGCACCUGUUGCUGGAGGAUUCACCCGUGAAGAUUUCAUGAUUGAGGCCUUUUUACACAUGACAGCUGCUGAGCAGGUUGAUCUGUUUGUAGCCACACCAAAUAAUAUCCCUGCAGAAAGGUUUGAAGUUUAUGGAGUGGCACUUGCCCUUGUUGCUCAAGCUGUUACUGGUAAAAAGCCUCAUCUUAUCCCAGAUGCUGAUAGCCAAUUCCAACAACUCCAACAGAUGAAGGUAUCAAGUCAUGCAAGUGCUGUCUCUGUUUAUAGUCUCGAACAAAACCAUGAGAUAGACUUUGCUCUGGAGAGGGGUCUUUGUUCACUUCUUGUAGGGGAGCUUGAUGAGUGUCGUACAUGGUUGGGCCUAGACAGUGAUAGUUCACCUUACAGAAAUCCACCCAUUGUAGAUUUUGUGAUGCAAAAUUCAAAGAGUGAUGAUGAUAGUGAUCUUCCUGGGCUUUGCAAACUGUUGGAGACCUGGUUGAUGGAAGUGGUUUUUCCUAGAUUUAGAGACACCAAAGAUAUGCAGUUUAAGCUUACAGACUAUUAUGAUGAUCCGACUAUCUUAAGAUAUUUAGAGAGGCGGGAGGGAGGUGGUCAUUCACCCUUGGCUGCAGCUGCAGCCAUAGUGAGGAUUGGGGCUGAGGCUACUGCUGUUAUUGAUCAUGUGAAGACUAGUGCAAUUCAGGCAUUGCAGAAGGUGUUUCCUCUCAGUCAGAAGGGUGAGAGUACAGGAUUGGAAGAAAGUAGUGGUUUGAAUUAUCCUGUUCUUUCUGUCCAGGGUGAAGUGCCUCUGCAAGAACUUGAUGCUGAUUAUCCUGCCAUAAAGGCUGAAACUUCUGGAAAAAAUAGUUAUGAUGAAGUGCCUGAAGAGGAUUUGAUUAUUGAGAGAAUAAAAGAUGCAAGUGUGAAGAUCAUGUGUGCUGGUGUGGCAAUUGGACUGAUGACUUUAGUUGGCUUGAAAUAUUUGCCUGCUAGGAAUGGCUCCUUCAUUCGUCGUAAUGAAAUUGGUUCAGCAAUGGCCUCCGACACCAUCAAUGUGGGGUUCUCACUAGAUGACAAAUCUGUAGAGGAAAUGCCCAGAAUGGAUGCAAAGUUUGCAGAGUAUAUGGUUCGCAAGUGGCAGAACAUUAAAUCUCGGGCUUUUGGACCUGACCACUCUCAAGGAGAACUGCCCAAGGUGUUGGAUGGUCAGAUGUUAAAAACAUGGACUGAUCGUGCAGCUGAAAUAGCACAGCUUGGUUGGGUAUAUGACUAUGAGCUGUUGGAUCUGACCAUUGACAGCGUGACUGUUUCUCUAGAUGGGCAACAUGCAGUAGUGGAAGCAACUCUAAAUGAGUCGGCAUGCUUAAUUGAUGCAGUUCGCCCAGAGAACAAUGCCUCAAACAUCACAACUUACACAACGAGAUACGAGAUGUCAUGCUCAAAUUCAGGAUGGAAAAUCACCAAAGGAGCAAUAAUGAUGUAAAAGAGGACAUUUGAUUGUAAAUGCAAUCUUUGUUUCUGUUUUACUUGUCCAUAUUUUCAUUGGAUUGGAUGCAACUUUUUCACAAUCUAUUUGUGUUAUUUUCAUGUACUUUUUUUAUUAUUGAUGUGGAAUCUGACAGGCACUGACAGAACUAUUCAGAAUGAUGGCCAGCGCAGUAAAAUAUAUAUUACUACCUCUGGGCUUGUCUGCCGCCAAAUUGCUAGUUUCUUACAUUGUUGCUGCCUAGAUGAUCAGGGCUUUUCUGUUUUUUUUCCAACUCAAUUUCUUGCUGGCGUGUAGAAAACAGGGUGAGAUCUCUUGAACGGUGCAAGUGGAAGAUAG
rnacentral:misc_RNA from 1 species